GAUGAACGCUGGCGGCGUGCCUAAUACAUGCAAGUCGAGCGAACGGACGAGAAGCUUGCUUCUCUGAUGUUAGCGGCGGACGGGUGAGUAACACGUGGAUAACCUACCUAUAAGACUGGGAUAACUUCGGGAAACCGGAGCUAAUACCGGAUAAUAUUUUGAACCGCAUGGUUCAAAAGUGAAAGACGGUCUUGCUGUCACUUAUAGAUGGAUCCGCGCUGCAUUAGCUAGUUGGUAAGGUAACGGCUUACCAAGGCAACGAUGCAUAGCCGACCUGAGAGGGUGAUCGGCCACACUGGAACUGAGACACGGUCCAGACUCCUACGGGAGGCAGCAGUAGGGAAUCUUCCGCAAUGGGCGAAAGCCUGACGGAGCAACGCCGCGUGAGUGAUGAGGGUCUUCGGAUCGUAAAACUCUGUUAUUAGGGAAGAACAUAUGUGUAAGUAACUGUACACAUCUUGACGGUACCUAAUCAGAAAGCCACGGCUAACUACGUG
rnacentral:rRNA from 1 species